rnacentral:misc_RNA from 1 species
AUCGUUAGCUAGAAUCAGCGACCUCCGUGGCGAAGCCAUACUUUGCUGGAUUGCGAUUCGUCUGGGCACUGCGCUCUCGGCGUUGCCGUACUUGAGGCGCGUGGCAGUAUUUCUCGAGCUCAGGCAGCCUUGCAAACUCCUGCUUUUAGGACCCGACAGGACCCGAAAGGCUUGUGUUGACGAAGUUUGUGUAGAGAAUUCCCUAUCUUGCGAAGUUUGUUUCAAUACUUUCGGUUCUUCGAGUCGUUUUAAUUUGCUUGCGGCGCUUGACCAUAGCGUAAACAGAUCCAAGCCUAUACUCGACUUCACGAGCGUUCAAAGGGCUCUCCUCGACUCAUUAUCGCAGUUGGCUAAACUCCCCUCCAUAGGGUAUAUUUUCGCUGCUCCUUCUCUUAAGGCUUCACCGUAACUGCACAGGGUUUGCGGCCCUCACCGCAACACACGGCACUAUUGUCCGCGCACAAACAUCAUCUGCUUUAAACUUUCCAUUUUUUGCCGCCAGCUAGUCACUGAAGAGAUGGAAACCAUAAUCUAUGCCCCUCAGGAUGCGCAGGAGGUGACCCGUCGUGGAAGUUUUGGAGGCAGCCUGCAAAAGCAAGCGAGAGAUGGGCUUCGGCGUCAAGAAGACCACCUUCAGCGUCGAGUCCUCGCGAAUGGGUAUUCAUGUCUACUCGUGGAGACUACACGACUGGGACUACAAGAAACACAAUUUGCCUACCUAUGCUCGCGGUCUGUUCACUGUCAGAUCAAGCGAAGGCAUGGCCGAAAUCGCCGUUAGGGGCUAUGACAAGUUCUUUAAUGUCGGCGAGGUCAACGAAACUAAAUGGAACGAGAUCAUGGCGAAGACAAAACCGCCUACGAAUUGACUCUCAAGGAAAAUGGCUGUUAUUUUUCAUUGCUGACUCGAGGAUGACACUCUUCUAGUCUGCAGCAAGCAUUCGACGGUGACCGCAGUGACGUAGCCAUGAGCCACUCUCGAGCAGGCGAGUAUGUGUCUAGAGAAGCAGUUGGCGAAUCUUGGAAUGAAAAAAACAAAUCUCGCCCGUGAGCUUCGUCGGAGAAAUGCUACCGCCGUCGCCGAACUCUGCGACGACUCAUUCGAGGAGCAUAUUCUCCCUUAUGGCCCGACACGGCGGAUUAUACCUCCAUGGGAUCAACCUCACCUUCCUCAAUUUUCAACUUACCCAAGUGCCGUUGUUCAAGAAUUCGCCCGUAAAUGGGGCUUCAACAGACGGAUGUAAUCAUCAUGAAUGACGUUUGCAGUAUCCGGGCUUUCUGGAGGACACGGCUCAGACAGGUGCUCACAACGGUCGAGACAUUGAAGGCUUCGUCAUUCGAUGCAAGAGGAGCCCUGACCCGGUGAAUCUUCCCUACCGGGACUGUUUUUUCAAAUUCAAGUUUGACGACCAUAUCUCAUGUACCGACAAUGGCGAGAAUGUACCAAAUCGGUGAUCGACGACAAAAUACCCAAAUACAACAAGCACAAGAAAAUUACCGCGCAGUAUCUCGAAUAUGUGCGCCAACGGUUUGCCAGACCCAAACCUCGGCAAACUGUAACAAUCAAAACCAUGGCAUUAUAGCACUGCGCAACGACUUCCUACAGUUCAAGAAUCUCAAAGGUCGGAAGCUGCCAACCUGAAUUUGACGAGGCCAGUAAAUGCCAUGCCCCAAGUUACUGGGAACAUGGUCUUGUGCCCGAUCGCAACAAUCGGUUGCGGCAAAACCACGAUUGCUGUAGCCCUAGAGAAGCUCUUUGAUGGGGGCACAUACAGAACGAUGAUAUUACAGGCAAGGGCGCCCGCCGAGAUUUACCGAGGCAAUACUAAACUCACUGGAGAUGGUACCUGUUGUUACCGGCGAGACAGAAAUAAUACGCAGAGCCGCGAGAGGAAGCAGAUUAUCACCGAUAUUAAAAGCGAAUUCCGAAUGCGAAGUUCGUAUGUCUUCAUUCCGCCAUGACGAAGACUCCAAAAACGAUAUUGGCGCGUCACUCGAGAGAGGGUGAGUGCUCGUGGCGACAACCACCAGACAAUUCGUGCUGCUACGGACCCGCAAAAGUUAUGAUAUCAUGGAGAACUUCAUGAAAAAUUUCCAGCCAUGCGAUCCAAGUUGCCCACCGGACAAUGGCUUCGAUGUCGUCAUCGACCUGGACCCCUUGACAAACAGCCGCGCAAAUCUUGAAACGGUGGUACAGCACACUACACGCUUACUUUCCAAACUUGGUUAGGGAAGUCCCCUCUUCAGAACAUCUCGACACGGUCAUGAAAGAGGCCUUAGAGUACAAGCCGGCCUUGUCACUCCAGAAAAACGGAAAAGGCACCAUGCAGCGAGUCCAGCCGGCGAAACCGCGACUAUCAAAGCCAAAGAGCACGAGAAGAAUCUUAUUUACAUCUGCAGAAGACUGGAAGAGUCGAAGAACGGUUUCAUGUCACACUCAUGCAUUAUAAGAGCUCCAGACUAUGCCCCGACCUUUGGAAGCGUUAUGUCGGGCUAUAUGACGCAGCAAAGGAGAGUAGCGACAGACUCGGUAAAUGUGAAGUCGUGCUUCAGCGGGUUUUAUUCGACGAGCGCGUCAUGGCCAUCGAAGUGAGCUUGAACAGCAUAGAUGGAGAAUGGGAGUGCGCGACGAUUUUGCUCUAUAUAACCGUCGCAAGACGAGACGAGACAGUGAAGGCGAAAAAAAGUAACGAUUUGCUGGCCAGGCGGAUGGACCCUGGACUCGCAAAAGACAGCCUCAGCGAAAUUGUCUUGGUAACCAGACCGGUCCUGGUAGGGGAUGUCAAGGGAGUGUCAUACUAAUAACAACGCACGUGCCUGCCCUCAUAUCGUUGGUGUCUGUAGAUUGAAGACAGGAGGAUACGACUAGCUGUCAUGGACUCAAGCGGGUGUUGCCCACCAAUCACGAUGAAACAGAAUUAAUCCUGACGGAACAUAUGGAUAGUGUACAACAUUCAGCUACGGGAGCCGACGAGGGAUGUAAAAGUGCAGGGUAUAUGAUUCACAGACUGUUAGAAAACAAAAAAGGCAAUGAGGAUUAGCGGAUUUUCUCUUGAUGACUUGAUGAUUGAGGCUACUCGUCGUCCAGAAGCGACUUGCAAUAGUGCCAAAAAAGGGCACC